UGUUGUAGACAGUACUGCCAUUGCCGUUGUAAUGCAGUAUGUUGCAAGGUAAAAUUGUUGCUGUUUUUGUCAGUU